rnacentral:rRNA from 1 species
GAUGAACGCUGGCGGCGUGCUUAACACAUGCAAGUCGAACGGAAAGGCUCCUGCUUGCAGGGGUACUCGAGUGGCGAACGGGUGAGUAACACGUGGGUGAUCUGCCCUGCACUUCGGGAUAAGCCUGGGAAACUGGGUCUAAUACCGGAUAGGACGAUGGUUUGGAUGCCAUUGUGGAAAGUUUUUUCGGUGUGGGAUGAGCUCGCGGCCUAUCAGCUUGUUGGUGGGGUAAUGGCCUACCAAGGCGUCGACGGGUAGCCGGCCUGAGAGGGUGUACGGCCACAUUGGGACUGAGAUACGGCCCAGACUCCUACGGGAGGCAGCAGUGGGGAAUAUUGCACAAUGGGCGCAAGCCUGAUGCAGCGACGCCGCGUGGGGGAUGACGGCCUUCGGGUUGUAAACUCCUUUCGCUAGGGACGAAGCGUUUUUGUGACGGUACCUGGAGAAGAAGCACCGGCUAACUACG